CGGUAAUACGUAGGUGGCAAGCGUUAUCCGGGAUUUAUUGGGCGUAAAGAGAGUGCAGGCGGUUUUCUAAGUCUGAUGUGAAAGCCUUCGGCUUAACCGGAGAAGUGCAUCGGAAACUGGAUAACUUGAGUGCAGAAGAGGGUAGUGGAACUCCAUGUGUAGCGGUGGAAUGCGUAGAUAUAUGGAAGAACACCAGUGGCGAAGGCGGCUACCUGGUCUGCAACUGACGCUGAGACUCGAAAGCAUGGGUAGCGAACAGGAUUAGAUACCCUGGUAGUCCAUGCCGUAAACGAUGAGUGCUAGGUGUUGGAGGGUUUCCGCCCUUCAGUGCCGGAGCUAACGCAUUAAGCACUCCGCCUGGGGAGUACGACCGCAAGGUUGAAACUCAAAGGAAUUGACGGGGGCCCGCACAAGCGGUGGAGCAUGUGGUUUAAUUCGAAGCUACGCGAAGAACCUUACCAGGUCUUGACAUCUUGCGCCAACCCUAGAGAUAGGGCGUUUCCUUCGGGAACGCAAUGACAGGUGGUGCAUGGUCGUCGUCAGCUCGUGUCGUGAGAUGUUGGGUUAAGUCCCGCAACGAGCGCAACCCUUGUUACUAGUUGCCAGCAUUAAGUUGGGCACUCUAGUGAGACUGCCGGUGACAAACCGGAGGAAGGUGGGGACGACGUCAGAUCAUCAUGCCCCUUAUGACCUGGGCUACACACGUGCUACAAUGGACGGUACAACGAGUCGCGAACUCGCGAGGGCAAGCAAAUCUCUUAAAACCGUUCUCAGUUCGGACUGCAGGCUGCAACUCGCCUGCACGAAGUCGGAAUCGCUAGUAAUCGCGGAUCAGCAUGCCGCGGUGAAUACGUUCCCGGGCCUUGUACACACCGCCCGUCACACCAUGAGAGUUUGUAACACCCAAAGUCGGUGGGGUAACC
rnacentral:rRNA from 2 species